UACGAAGGGGGCUAGCGUUGCUCGGAAUGACUGGGCGUAAAGGGCGCGUAGGCGGUUUAUCUAGUUAGGCGUGAAAUUCCCGGGCUCAACCUGGGAACUGCGUUUAAUACAGGUAGACUUGAGUUCGGAAGAGGGUCGUGGAAUUCCCAGUGUAGAGGUGAAAUUCGUAGAUAUUGGGAAGAACACCGGUGGCGAAGGCGGCGACCUGGUCCGAUACUGACGCUGAGGCGCGAAAGCGUGGGGAGCAAACAGG
rnacentral:rRNA from 1 species